rnacentral:rRNA from 3 species
AAAACGACUCUCGGCAACGGAUAUCUAGGCUCUCGCAUCGAUGAAGAACGUAGCAAAAUGCGAUACUUGGUGUGAAUUGCAGAAUCCCGUGAACCAUCGAGUUUUUGAACGCAAGUUGCGCCCGAAGCCAUUAGGCCAAGGGCACGUCUGCCUGGGCGUCUCA